GGCCGCCCUGCAAUGUGUGACUUCCAUACAGCACGGCAGCACUUCUGUAUUCGUGCGCGUAAACAUCUGGAAUGCUGCCGGAGUCCGAAUGAAAACUUACGCACAGUUUACCUCGUCACUAAUUACACAAAAUAGAACUUAAUAGUAAAAACAAACAAAACAGUCAAAUGUAACGGCAUAUUAAUCGAACAUUUCCUUUCUAGGUAGGACUAUUUUAUGUCGGCGCCUGUGUAUAUUUUAUCUGGGGAGGACAUACGAAGCGUACGGAGGUUUACUUAGGGUUUUUGGAAACAAAACGUAAAAAAAAAAACACAAACGAGCCAGGACCUGGUAUUCCUUAUGUCAAAAUUAGAGUAGCGCCAUCAGCAUCAUUUCCCUACUAUUCCUCAUAAACAUUGCUGUGUAAUGAGUGGGACUAGGAGCUAGUGAGACCUUUUUCUUAUCAAACACAAAAGAGCACUUUAUAAUUGACGUUAGAGUGCGAUACGUCGAAAACCCCCAAGUAAGCCCACCUCUUUGUGAAUGCAGCCUCAACCGAAUUCCUUCCGUAGACGGAAUGUACACAAGCGCCGCCAUAAAAUAGAUCGGCCAAGAAAAAUAUAUUUCAUCAGUAUGUCACCACAUUGGAUAGUUUGCUUGCUCUUGACUAUUUUUUCUCAAUUUUGACGGGAUAAGGCGUACGUAAGCCUUUCAUUGAGAGUUUAGCCGUAUUCCAGAUGUUGACGCGCACUGAUACAAGAGAAGUGCUUCUGUUCCGUGUGAAAUUUUCCAGAGCGGCGUGGCCAUUGUGAGGUCAACCCCAGAGGUGUACAGCUUAGCACGUGGGUCUGGUGAUCUCUGAAGUGGCAAAUCACUGAAACAGCAUGCUGAGACAUCACCUUCCCCACCUUGAUGAAAACAAUAGCAGCAGCUGCUGCAAUUAAUUUUCCAAGUUCCAUACACCUCAAAAUACAAGCACAGAUCAUGCAGAGCGAAACUAUUGGCAACGGCAGGACAUCCAGCUUACCCUCAACCCUGGGUUGUUAGUCAGGUCUGUUCUUACAGCUGUCAAGCCUCCUGGAAACCCAGACUUCAGGGACUGUGCCUCUGGUACAGUGGGGGCUUGUUCAGCUAAGGUAGAUGGGUUUGCUGGAUGUCAAGGCCACAAAUAAUGUCUCAUCCCUUUUGCUCUUGUUCCUAUUGUCAUGGCAGCCCUAAUAGUCAUGGCUAAGGUUCCAUCCCUUGGUAUUUCUAUUGUUGGGUGGUCUUCUUUACUGUAUUCUGUAUUCUGGGCAUGCAAAUGCUUAACUUCAACAGGAAUUGAUUUAAUUGCUAUACUUAUAUUUUGAAAAACAACACAUAGCAAAUUAAAGGAAACAAGAAAACGUCCAAGAGGAGAAAAGUGCCGCAUGGCUUGCACAUGCUCUUCCCCAUUCAAAA